rnacentral:rRNA from 1 species
CAGCACCUCAAGUGGUCAGGAGGAUUAUUGGGCCUAAAGCAUCCGUAGCCUGCUUUGUAAGUUUUCGGUUAAAUCCAUCUGCUCAACAGAUGGGCCGCCGAAAAACUGCAAAGCUAGGGAGUGGGAGAGGUAGACGGUACUCGAUAGGAAGGGGUAAAAUCCUUUGAUCUAUUGAUGACCCCCUGUGGCGAAGGCGGUCUACCAGAACACGUUCGACGGUGAGGGAUGAAAGCUGGGGGAGCAAACCGGAUUAGAUACCCGGGUAGUCCCAGCUGUAAACGAUGCAGACUCGGUGAUGCCCCUGGCUUGUGGCCAGUGCAGUGCCGCAGGGAAGCCGUUAAGUUUGCCGCCUGGAAGUACGUACGCAAGUAUG